rnacentral:pre_miRNA from 1 species
AUGGUACUCCCUCCAUCCCAAAAUUCUUGUCUUAGAUUUGUCUAAAUACGGAUGUAUCAAGUCACAUUUUAGUAUUAGAUACAUCCGUAUCUGGACAAAUCUAAGACAAGAAUUUUGGGACGGAGGGAGUAAUAC